AAAUUACCAUAAAUUGGGUGGCUUUACACAACAGAAAUUUGUUCUGGUGGUUAGAUGCCCAAAAUCAAGGUGUUGGAAAGACCACACUCCCUCCGAAGUGUCUAAGGGAGAAGUUGUCAUUGCCUCUUCUAGCUUCUGGUAGCCCAGGUAUUCUUUGGCUGGAGGCAACAUCAUUCAGCCUGGCCUCCAACUUCACAUGGCAGUCUUCCCUCUGUGUCUGUGUCCAAAAUUCUCUCUCCUUGUAAAAACACCAGUUAUAUUGCAUUAAGAGCCCACCCUUUUUCAGUAUGACUUCAUUUUCGCUUAACUAAUUACUUCUGCAAUUAUUCUAUUUCCAAAUAAGGUCACAUUUUGUAGUACUGGGAGGCUAAGGCUUUAACGUAUAUAUUGGGGGGGAUGCAAUUCAACCCAUAAUGGUAAGAAAUUUACAUUUCUUUUCAUUACAGACCCCGUGACAUCUCUACAGUUUCCCUACACACAACCCACAGUGGACCACAGUGGAUUGGCCCCAUUUGGGCAUUCCUUCUAUACUAGCCUAGUCUCAGAAACUUCAUUGAGUCCUAGAGGUGAAGGAUCUGUAUAGCUCAUCUCACACUGUCAUAUAAUCAGGGCAAGCUACAUGGACAUCAAAUUAUCAGACAGUUGCUUGGAGAGAAUGGAAGAAGCUGGAGGUCGGGGAAUGGGAGUUUUACAACUUGGACAUUUGGUAGCAUCCCAGGACUACAAGAAGAAGACAGAAGGGUGUCCAUCUUUGCUCAGUGCUUAGAUGAACGCUGCUAGCCUUGUCUCUGAUGUGUGAUUUUUACCUCCUUGGCUGACCAAAUCCUCCCCUGCCCUUUCUUUGUUAGGUACAUAUUGUAUCUUUGAUCUGGUUAAUGUCCAUUCUUAUUGCCUGGGGAGCCACUUGACUGCUUUAAGGCACUUGCUAAUCUCUGCUCUGAUCCAUUAGGAAUUCAUUUAGAGUUUAACUCUCUGAGGGCAACUUCAUUUCUAAGGCUUGAGGACCACAGUGCAGUAACAAACAGAGCAGAGAAAGGUAGAGGUCCCAGCAAAGGGGGCUGCCUCAUUGGGACAGUAUACUGCAAACCCUCAGGAAGGUGGGAGGAUAACAGGAAGACCCUAAGGAAAUGAGAGACUUAGGGUGAGGGUGAAAACAGGAAAAAGGAAGAGUGAAUGCCAACCUUCACUUUGCAAUUUUCCCUAGAGCCAAUUCUGACAGUAUCCUCCUGCCUCUUUUCAAAGAGCAGGCGGCAAAAACUGAGAUGACAACAAUUUUUUUUUCCUCUGUAAAGCUGGGCUCAAUUUGAGACAGAAUAUUAAUGGCAAAAGGCUCAAUAUCUCAUUAUCAAUCCCCAUGGGCAUAUAGUCCCCAGAAAAGAUAAAUAUUUGACUAGAUGAUAACAUGUGCGAUAAUUUAUAGUCAGCAUUCCACAUGCAUUUUCACUGAAUCUUUUAUUUGCAACUAGUACUUCGGAGUGGCCUAUACAAUUAUUUACAUAUAUAUUUUAAAUUCUGAACUCAGGAUCUGAGGAUCAUUAAGCCCAUAUAAGUCUUCAAAAAAAGAGCAGUUUCCUUAUUGAUUUACCCAGGACAGGCAACAGAAUGUCUACAUUCUUUCCCUUUAUCUUUCAGUUCAUUGAGUAAAAAUAGAUUGAGGCUUACCCCAGUUUUCUCAAAAUCUUGCUUGAAGGUGAACAUGAGGUCACCUUAAUGGCUAUCAAAACCAUUUCUUACUGCCAAGCUUGAAAAAUGUUUCCCACUUCUCUGAAAUUCUGUCUUUGGGGGAACUUUAACCUCUUUCUAACUUCUAAUUAGCUUUUCUUCAAGGACAAGAGUUCAGUGGAAAGUGAAAACAAGUCAGAGAGGCUGCGUGGGGCACCUAGGUUGCAAAAGUAAUGGGACUCCUUUCAUCUCUUCCUCUGUGCUAAUUCUAGGGAUUAAUACUGUUGUCUGUAAAAUAUCCUUUGAAACCAAGCCUCCUAAAGAAGGUAUUGAUGUAUACAAGCAGACACAAUUCCCAGAUGGGCUACUGGCUGAUUUAUGCUGAUCCAUGCACCUACACCCUCACAGAUUUGUCUUCAAUGACAACUCUUAUAAGAUGAGUCAUUCUUACAUGGACUCUUCAUAGACAGCCUAUUAUAGAUCCUUCCAAAUCCCUCUAGUCAGUGCAUUCUGGAGUCAAGUACUUUUCCACUAGGUGGGGGAAUGUUUUUCUAGUGGAAAAGGAAUCUUCCAUUCCUUUGGACAUGGGUAACAAUGACUGGCAGAAAAUGUGUUGUUUCAAAAGACUGCAUUGCAAAAGCUCUUUAUUUUCACAUUGCUAAAAGAUGCAGUUAAGUGGAUUUUUUAAAAAAUUAAGGAGAAGUCUGUUCUCAAAGAUAAAUGUAUCCUUUGAUUCAUUCAACAAAUAUUUGUUUAGUAGCUACUCGGAAGAUACUUUUAGGAUACUUUCUCCAUUACUUUUCAAGUAACAAAUCAAUGUUUGUAGGAAGAGGCACUAGGUUUAAAGUAUAACUUUAACUCUCAUGGAGCUUACAUUCUGUUGAGGAAGAUGGAUAAUAAGGAAGUGAAGGCACAAAUAAACCUAACAGCUUCCAGUAGCGAUAGGUUUUGGAUUUUUUUAAAGAAAUGAAUAGGAUAAUUGGAGGGUAACUGGGUGAUAGCCUUUGGAUGUUUGUCUCCUCCAAAUCUCAUGUUGAAGUGUGAUCCCCGGUGUUGGAGGUGGGGCCUGGUGGGAGGUGUUUGGAUCAUGGGGAUGGAUCCUUCAUGAAGGGCUUGCUACCAUUCUUGUGUAAUGAGUGAGUUUUUCACACUAUUAGUUCACAAGGCAGCUGGUUGUUUAAAAUGAGUUUGGGACCUCCAGUCGUCCUCUCUCUUGCUCCCUCUCUCACCAUGUGACGUACCUGCUCCCCCUUCAUAUUCUACCAUGAUUGUAAGUUUCCUGAGACCUCACCAGACGCCAAGCAGAUGUUGGUGCCAUGCUUGACAGCUUGCAGAACUCUGAGCCAAAUAAAACUCUUUUCUUUAUAAAUUA